AACGUUACAGAGGUGGGCAUGGGUCCCUUCAAAGAGGUGGACAUCAGAGAGAGGGAGGCAGAAGGCAUGGAACUGUUGUGUCUAAUGAAGUCCGGGCUAUCGUCACUGACCAUGUGGUAAACAGAGGCCUUACCAUGGCAGAGGCUGCCAGAUUAGUUCACCCCAAUCUGAAAUGAUCAACUGUAAAUUCGAUCAUGAGAACAUUUCACCAAUAAUACCGAAUUAAUGGUGGUGGCUGAGCUGUGUGCUGACCGACCAGCAGGAGUGGGCAGUGGUGGAAGUGGUGGAAAGGGUGAGGACCAGGUAUGACAUGCUGUCCGAAAUAAAGCAGGCCAUGUAGGAGAACGAUGACACCUUUUCCAAUGUGGCAUCCAUCAGCCUACCAACAAUCCCUCGCCUUUUGAGGAGGCACCAGUUAUCUAUGAAACACAUUUACCUGGUGCCUUUUGAGAGAAAAAACAACCGGGUGAAACAACUGCAGGCCGAGUAUGUUCAGAGGUUAAUGCUGCCGUGAACCAUCACAAGUAUAUCUUUGUUGAUGAAGUGGGCUUCAAACUGGCCAAAACUUGGCGCCGUGGGCGGAACCUCACCGACCAACGGGUGACCUGGACAACGUGUCAGAAACAUCUCUAGCUAUCUCUGAAGAUGGUGUGAUAAGAUGUAGGCCAUUACUUGGAUCCUAAAACGUUGCACACCUAAUUGUGUUUCUCAAUGAAAUUGAGCAGGCCUGUCAAUAUGAAGCGGUCACCUAUGUCAUUGUGUGGGACAAUAUCAGGUUCAACCAUGCAGAGGUGGUUCAGAAAUGGUUUUGGGCCCAUCCUCGAUUCGUGACCCUAUACCUGCCCCCGUAGUCUCCUUUUCUCAACCCGAUUGAGGAUUUCUUUUCAGCAUGGGGGUGGAAGGUGUACAAUCGCCAUCCACAUGAGCAUGCCACCCUCCUUCCGGCCAUGGAUGAGGCAUGCGACGACAUCAAUCCAGACCAAUGUCAAGCUUGUGCCAACUUGUAUUUUGAAUCAACGGUUGUGUGGUGAGAGAUGUUUUAAUGCAAAUGAAUGCACAAUGACACGUUUUGAAUGAAAGACUGGCUGCGUUAC